GACGAACGCUGGCGGCGUGCCUAAUACAUGCAAGUCGAGCGGACAGAAGGGAGCUUGCUCCCGGAAGUUAGCGGCGGACGGGUGAGUAACACGUGGGCAACCUACCCUGUAGAUCGGGAUAACAUCGAGAAAUCGGUGCUAAUACCGGAUAAUCAUUUGAAGUGCAUGCUUCGAAUGUAAAAGAUGGCCCCGGCUAUCACUACGGGAUGGGCCCGCGGCGCAUUAGCUAGUUGGUAAGGUAAUGGCUUACCAAGGCAACGAUGCGUAGCCGACCUGAGAGGGUGAUCGGCCACACUGGGACUGAGACACGGCCCAGACUCCUACGGGAGGCAGCAGUAGGGAAUCUUCCGCAAUGGACGAAAGUCUGACGGAGCAACGCCGCGUGAGUGAUGAAGGUUUUCGGAUCGUAAAGCUCUGUUGUUAGGGAAGAACAAGUGCUGUUUGAAUAAGGCGGCACCUUGACGGUACCUAACCAGAAAGCCACGGCUAACUACGUGCCAGCCGCCGCCGUAAGAC
rnacentral:rRNA from 1 species